rnacentral:rRNA from 1 species
CGCGGUUAUACGGAGGGUGCGAGCGUUAAUCGGAAUUACUGGGCGUAAAGCGCAUGCAGGCGGCCUGUUAAGUCAGAUGUGAAACCCCGGCGCUUAACCUCGGAUUUGCUUUUGACACUGGCACGCUAUACUCUUGUAGAGGGGGGUAGAAUUUCAGGUGUAGCGGUGAAAUGCGUAUAGAUCUGAAGGAAUACCAGUGGCGAAGGCGGCCCCCUGGACAAAGACUGACGCUCAGAUGCGAAAGCGUGGGGAGCAAACAGGAUUAGAUACCCUGGUAGUCCACGCCGUAAACUAUGUCUACUUGUAGGUUGUGGCCUUGAGCCGUGGCUUUCGGAGCUAACGCGUUAAGUAGACCGCCUGGGGAGUACGGUCGCAAGAUUAAAACUCAAAUGAAUUGACGGGGGCCCGCACAAGCGGUGGAGCAUGUGGUUUAAUUCGAUGCAACGCGAAGAACCUUACCUACUCUUGACAUCCAUAGAA